rnacentral:lncRNA from 1 species
ACAAACCAAACCCUCCUGUUGCUCCCACAACUCCCCCUAGCACCAGCCCUACCUCCCCAUCCCCCAAAUCUCCAUCUCCUCAGUACCCUCAUCACCCUCCUGGGACCUCACCAUCACCAGCAUCAGUGGCUAACCCUCCAGCCACCUCACCAUCACCAGUAGUGGCUAGCCCUCCUGCCACCUCCCCAUCACCAGUGGGCUACCCUCCUGCCACCUCCCCAUCGCCAGUGGGCUACCCUCCUGCCACCUCACCAUCACCAGUGGGCUACCCUCCUGCCACCUCACCAUCACCAGUGGGAUACACUCCUGCCACCUCACCAUCCCCAUCAACAACAACAUCUCCAGCGCUAGCGCCAGGUCCAUCUUCAUCCCUUACACCAUUUCCUUCUCCACCCUCACCGCCCCCCGAGGGGCCCACACCGCCCUCCGAGGGGCCCACACCGGC